GUACUUUACAAUUAUUAAAAUCUUAAUUCAAGUGAAGAAGGAUUCUGAAAGUCUGACAGUAAUCAGUGUUGAGUACAACUGUAAGGUUAAUCCUGCUUCUAUAAAUGUCUGAAAAUGAUUAACAGUUGAAAAUUUUUGAAAAGUAAUCAAAUGUAAUCAGUUACAUUACUUUUCAUGAAAUAGUUACACUACAUAUUACAUUUUAAAUAGGGUAAUUUGUAAUCUGUAACCUAUUACAGUUCCAAAGUAUCCUUCCCAACAUUGGACCUGACACCUAGCAACUCAGACAAAGAGAGUUGACAAAAUUAAACUAAAAUAUAAACCCAUACUGGAUUUUAAAGGGUAUCAUUCCUUAAAAUAAAAUCCUUUUUUUUUUAACUGUGAUAAUAAUAGAAUCCAAAAUGCCAAAAAAGAAAAGAAAAAAAAGGAAAAAAGAAAUUGUUUGGAUUUGCAGAUUGAUAUUAUUAUUAUAUUUUAUUAUAUAAUAGAUAUAAUAUAAUAGAUUUGAAUACAUUGUAAAAUGAAGUUAAUGUUAAAUUAAUAAUUUUCAUUUCUGGAAAAAGAAAAUAGGAGUAACUUCUCUAAUUAAAAAAUGUCAUCAAAUCAGGAGUCUGUUUUCAGCAUUUAAACAUCAAAAUCAUGAUGCCCUUCAAUAAUAUAAUUGAACAUAUAGGCUGCAAUUAGGUUUAUGCAUUCCCCAUGAAUGAAGAAAAUAAGGUUGCAUCCCAGGAGCUCUGAAAGAAUGUUAUAGAGUGACAAAUGCAGCCAAGGAAAACAUGAAGAAAAGAAAGUGGAAAAUAACACAGGUUAAAAGACAAUGGGCAGAAUCGCCAUCGGAUCGGACUAACCACAGCUGACAACCAGAGACGCGCGCGCACACACACACACACCCAUCCACCAACACACCCAUCCACCAACACACACAUACACAAACACACGAAAAGAGCACCGCAACUUUACAACUGUUCAAUUAAAAUAAACGCAUUUUGCUUCAUACAACGUGUCUGUUGUCUUUGAUUAGCCUAAAAGUAAAAUAAUAUGGCAUUCAGAGGACUUAAAGCGAAAGUCCCCUAAAUGUCCCGAAUGGCCGCUGCACGUCCUGUGAACGUCCCCAUGAAUGUCCGGAGGACGUCUUCGCAAACGUCCGCUCGACGUCAAGGGGGCCCUACACGCUGACGUCUGGGGGACGUUCGCAGAGGCCAUUUAGGG
ensembl:lncRNA